AUACGGAGGGAGCCAGCGUUGUCCGGAAUCACUGGGCGUAAAGGGCGUGUAGGCGGGCUGGCAAGUCAGAUGUGAAAUUCCACGGCUUAACCGUGGAGGGUCAUCUGAAACUGCCGGUCUUGAGUUCGGGAGAGGGUGGUGGAAUUCCCGGUGUAGUGGUGAAAUGCGUAGAUAUCGGGAGGAACACCGGAGGCGAAGGCGGCAACCUGGCCCGACACUGACGCUGAGGCGCGAAAGCGUGGGGAGCAAACCGCAUUAGAAACCCUAGUAGUCC
rnacentral:rRNA from 1 species